rnacentral:lncRNA from 1 species
UGUGCUCUCGUUCUUGGCAUGCUCUCUUUUUUCUUUAAUUAGGCCGUGGUCUUUCUUCUAGUAUCAAUCUAUUACUGCAAGACUCCGAUUUAAAGUAGAUGCGGCUAAGAUCAGACUUCUUCCAACUUGAGAGCUUGGCACUGAUCCAGAGGGCUGGGAUGCCAAAGAGAACCUACAAGUGAAAUCCACUCUCAUUGGAGAUUCUCUGAUUGAGGACCCUUUAAUACUUAAAUUGAUGGAGCUUGAGAACAACAGAGGAAAGAAAGUGAGGGGGAGAG